UGUAUCUUCUGUGUUUCUUAGGAUUCCAGCUCAUCUUCCUCCUCAGACAGCGAGGAUGAUCACAAGAAGAAGAAGAAGAAGAAGAAGAAAAAAAAGAAGACCAAGAAGAAGAAGGAAUCAAGCAGUUCUUCCUCUGACAGCUCCAGUGAAGAUGAGGAGAAGAAGAAGAAGAAGAAGAAGAAGAAAGACAAAAAGAAGAAAAAGAAAAAGGAAAAGAAGAAGGAUUCAGGAGGUGAGUCUGAAUCAGACGGAGAGAAAGACAAGAAGGUAAGGAACAGGACAGACAUCAGGUGUGUGUGUGUGUGUGUGUGUGUGUGUGUGUGUGUGUGUGUGUGUAAAAUCAGUAAUCAAACAAAUUCUACUGUACUCUAAACUGUAAACGUCCUGCAGUUAAACUGAUUAACUAUAUUACGUUUGUGAUUGAGUAUUGAUUUAUUAUUUUUGUGAAGUCAACGUAAAAAUGUUGUAUUUAUUUAUUUAUUUAUUGCCAAACAUUGCGAAUUUUGCUUGGUGAGCUCGUCAACAAUAAUAACAAACAUUAAAAUACAUAUAUAAAUACAUACACAUACACAACUAUAUAUGUC
rnacentral:lncRNA from 1 species